rfam:Triticum aestivum genome assembly, contig: Triticum_aestivum_CS42_TGACv1_scaffold_223246_3B
CACAUACUGCCUCCGUCCGAAAAAGCUGGUCCCAAGCCAAAUGGAUGUAUCUAGCACUAACUUGAUGCUAGAUACAUCCAUUUGAGGGACAAGCUUUUUCGGACAGAGGGAGUAUAUA